GUUGACCUCGGAUCAGGUAGGGAUACCCGCUGAACUUAAGCAUAUCAAUAAGCGGAG
rnacentral:rRNA from 14 species